UACGGAGGGUGCGAGCGUUGUCCGGAAUCACUGGGCGUAAAGGGCGCGUAGGUGGCGCGAGGAGUCUGUGGUGAAAGCCCGAGGCUCAACUUCGGGUCGGCGGCGGAUACUCUCGUGCUGGAGGGUGGUAGAGGCCAAUGGAAUUCCGGGUGUAGCGGUGGAAUGCGUAGAUAUCUGGAAGAACACCAAAGGCGAAGGCAGUGUCCUGGGUGGUCGCUGACGCUGAGAGGCGAAAGCCAGGGGAGCGAACGGG
rnacentral:rRNA from 1 species